CAUGGGGAGUGUUGUCUUCCUGUACCUGUCUGCCUUACACAUUAUUUCAACAGUUGAUGGCGAUUCUUCCGUGAAAGUGACUCAAAUCCCCGACCAUGUGGCUGCCAUCAGAGGAACAAAUGUUACCUUCCGCUGUAUCUUCCCCUUCUCUCAAGACGGUUCAGAAGUGGAGGUGCAGUGGAAUAAGAAGGGUGAGAGUGGCUAUUUGGAUACAAAGGAGGAUAACAGGAAACUAUUUGGUGUAAAAACUAAAGGAAGCAGCUUCUUCCAGUUCUUGAAUGUGAUUUCACAGGACUCUGGAGUCUAUCGCUGUGUAGUGGUCCGUCAGGGAUCAAUAAUCGGAACAGGAUCUGGAUCGCGAUUAACUGUGUGCGUUCCCCCAACUCCACUGAAGAUUUUCUCUAGGAAUUCACCUAAGCCUCAGACUCUUGUGUGUGAAACUGCUUUGUUUCACCCAAAGGAAAUCACCUUCACUUGGUAUAAAGAUGGCACCGAAAUUGUGCCAACACCAGAAAUAAAGCUGGAAGAGUCAGGUUCCACUGAGAAGCAGAACUCAGAGGAUCUCUAUAAGGCCUC